UACGUAGGUGGCAAGCGUUGUCCGGAAUUAUUGGGCGUAAAGCGCGCGCAGGCGGUCCUUUAAGUCUGAUGUGAAAGCCCACGGCUCAACCGUGGAGGGUCAUUGGAAACUGGAGGACUUGAGUACAGAAGAGGAAAGCGGAAUUCUACGUGUAGCGGUGAAAUGCGUAGAGAUGUGGAGGAACACCAGCGGCGAAGGCGGCAUCCUGGACUGGUCCUGACACUCAGGAGCGAAAGCGUGGGGAGCGAUCCGG
rnacentral:rRNA from 1 species